GUAAAAAAUUGAAAUGUUUUAAUUUAAUAAAGAACAAUUAUCUUAUACACCGUCUAUGAAGUUUUUAAAAUUCCACAAACAAAUUGAAGAUACUACAUGUGUCUUGUAAGGUGUAGUGGGCCAAAUUUGCCCGGCCCGAAUAAAAACAAUAAAUGAUAUAAAAAUCUAGAUAUCAAUAGUCCAUUAUUUACAACCCAAAAUCAAACCAAAUUAACCCCAAUGUUUCAAGACCCAAAUUACAAAUCCAUUUACAAAAUGACAUAGCCCAAUACCCCAAACGGCCCAGAAACUGAGCCCCAUUUUGGCAAACCCUAGGGCAAGGGUCUCCUUGUGCCGCAGCCCUCACUAGCAGCCAAACCACAUUGCGCCAGACAACGCCUCCAACAGCACCAGCGCACAGCCCUCGUACGCCACGCCCGUACCUCCGUACGAUGCCAGCAGACUCCGUACCUGCGAAAAAGACACACAGAACAGCAGCGAAUAGGGAAGAAGAAAAUAGCAUUUUCAUUUUUUGAUUUUUCUUUCUUUUCGGCUAUAAAGGCCAUGUAAUAGCCUAGGUGAGUUUUUUACGCAACAUAAACGCACAAUAGGCCAUACAGACACAAUCAAUACAUUUUGAAAUACAAAAAAGCAACGAGCAUUCGAAGGUGAUUCCGAUUCAUAAUUUCUGAGAUUUUUUCCUUUUCUUCUUGGCUUAGUUUCAUUCUCCCUGGAAUUUCUUUUUGUUCUUUCGCAUUUUGGGUUGUAUAAAAGAGAGAGGAAAUGAAAUCUUACCCCGUGAAUACGCCGUGAGAUAUCCUCUGAUUCGUUGAAAUCGGGGUCCGAGAGGAGUAUAAGGCGGAAAGAAAACCAUCUUGAGGCUCGAACAGGCCGAUCUCCAUUCAUUGCGGUGGAUUGGCAUGGCAGAUGGAGGGUCAAGGUUCGUUUGAGGGGAGUAAAAAUGGAGGCUAGGGUUUGGAGGUGCUGGCUUAAUCUGCUGAUUGAGCCAUUUUAUAGGACCUCAAACUGUGUCGCAUUGACAUCAAAGCCCGACCCGAUUCGAUUCCAAACCCGAUGACCCGCGUGUUUUUGCGGUGAGGGACUAUUUGCACAUUAAAUCCCUCCCUUUUGCGCCACGUUUAAAUCAAUCCAUAUUUUUAUUCCAUUUCUUUUAAUUUAGGCUUGUAUUUUGAGCUCAUUUGCAAUGGGGUCCGCACAUGUACACAGCGUUUUGGGAGUCUGGAAUAAUUUCAGUUUUGAUCCUUGCAUAUUCGUAUACAUUAUGCGCUGGCCCUUAUCUGUAUUUACAAAUUAUCCUUCCAUUUUAACGUGGUUUCAAUUAGACCCUCUCUUUUAUGUGAUUUCAAUUAUUUUUUUUAGAUUCACCUCAUGUUUUAUUUUAUUUUACUUGUGUUCAUUUACUCGUGUUCAUCGUCUAACUUGCAUCAUUUACUUAUUGUAAUUUGGGUAACUAUGCUUUCAUAUUUUGCGUAUUACCUCAUGUAAUUGUUUUCUUUAUAUACGCUAUUGUACAUAUAUAUUUGUACUUUACAUUAAAGUCAAUUUCAUUUCAUAUAUAUAUACAUUGUUAACCUUAUGUUAUUUUAUACAUGUGUUGUCUUAAAUUUAUUAUUGUAGUUUAUUACAUGGUCCUAUAUAAUAUAUUUUCUCAAUUAUUAUUAUAUACAUAUAUGUUUAUAGAUAUCUAUACUUGAUAUCUAUAUAUAUAUUAUUAAAUCUAUGUAUUUUAUGCAUGUAGUUUUUCUCUUUUUUCAUAUAUGUAAGUAUAUUCUUCAAUUCAUUAUAUAAUUUAUAAUAAAAUCAGUUUUAGCUUGCAUAUAUUUCUAUGUUUUUUACAAAUAAUUAUUUUUUAAAAAAAGGGGGGUUAUUUAUAUAUAUAUAAUUUGUAGAUCCAUUGCAUUUUUGAAGAUUAUAUCGUACUAUAUAUUUUUAUUAUUACCGUUUUUAAUAUAUUUUACACAUACUUUAAAUUAUUAUUCUAUACAUCCUCGUUUUUUUUUUAAAAAUCAAUAUUAUUCUACGUUUUGGUAUGAUUUUCGAUUUAAACAUUCAUUUUAUAAUAUUUUUUAAAAUGAUUAAGCGUAUAUCCCUAGUUUUUCCUUUUUUACAAAUAAAUUUUAAAUGCACCAAUUCAUUAAUUUGCAUGUCAUAAAGAUUUUUGGUUCAUUAGAUCGCAUUUGUUCCGACAUCGUCUUAUACCACUUUGACUUCUAAAUUCUAUUUUGUUUUGCAUACGCUCUUUUGGUUGCUUUAUAUAUGUACAUUCCUUGCGUGGCAUCCACCUUAUUGAACUGUUAAUUACUCAUCAUAUAUGAUUGAAAUUAGGCUAUAAUUCCUAGAUUAAUUAUAUUUAAUUGCUUGUUCUGCUAGUUGAUUCAUUAAGUAUUGUAUCUCGUAUGUGUAUAUUACCUCAUUCAUCGUUUUCCAUUUGAUUUUCGAAAUGCGGUUUUAUAAAAUCCAAAUUUUAUGAUUAAUCUCGUACUAUUUCAAAUUGAAUUAAUACGUCUUAAGCUAGCUCUAUAAUCAUUCAUUCAAAAAUUCUUUAAAAACGAAGGCAAGAUUCGAUGUUUGGCAAUUCGUGGAAUCGUGCCCUAACGUGUUGGGUUGCGAUUUCGCGUUUGCUCAAAAUAAUCGAAUAUCACUUCGAAAUUUCACUCACGCCUUUUAAAAUUCCUCAAAACGAAGACGAGGUUUGAUAUUUAGCAAUUCGCAGAAUCGUGCCCUAACGUGUUGGGUUGCAAUUUUGCGUUUGUUCAAAAUAAUCGGGCUUCCCUUCAAAAUUCCAUUCAUAUCUCCUAAAAUUUUUUAAAUGAAGGCAAUGUUCGACGUUUGAUAAUUUGAGAAUCAUGCUCUAUCGCGUUGGGUUGUGGUUCCUGGUUUGCUCAAAAUGAUCGAACAUUCCUUUACAUUCUCACUCAUGUUUAUAAAAAAAAUACUUAAAAACGAAAACGAUGUUCAAUGUUUGGCGAUUUGAGAAUCGUGCCCUAUCGUGCUGGGUUGCGCUUUUUCAUUGGUCUGAAACAAUUGAAGAUCCCUUCAGAAUUUCCCUCGCACUUUCUAAAAUCUUUUAAAAUAAAGGCGAUGUUCGAUGUUUGGCGAUUUGAGAAUCGAGCCCUAUCAUGCUGGGUUGCGCUUUCUCAUUUGCCCAAAAUAAUCGAAUAUCUCCUCGAAAUUUUCACACGUAUUUUAUAAAGUAAGGCAAUGGUCAAUAUUUAGAAAUUCGAAGAAUCGUACCCUACUGUGCUGGGUUUCGAUUUUUCGUUGGACUAAAUAGUUGAGCAUCAUUCUGUAAUUCUCAAAUUAUAUACCUUCGGGCAUCGAAACAAGAAAUUUUGGCAACCAAGUCGGAUCACUCAAACGUUAUAAAAGGAACCACAUUUCAAAAAACUUUUAAUUUUAGACAUAAGGACAGUAUUUAAUUGACUUGGUACCAAUUUUGGGCGUAGUGAGGGUGCUAAUCCUUCCUCAUGCGUAACCGACUCCCGAACCUGUUUUCUCAAAAGUUCGUAGACCAAAAUUAUUGUUUUAAUAAACCAAAAAUGUUUAUUUAAACUAACCUCAUUUUUAGGUGAUUCGAUCACACCAAAAUAAAAGAUCGGUGGCGACUCCAUAUUUUCAUUUUCCAAAAAGUCGAUUCCACCAUUUUUCAUUAAAAUAAUUUUUUUUUAAAAUCGUGGGAUGGUUUCGACAGCUUGGCGACUCCGGUGGGGAUUUGAACUUGAGAGUCGAGCCAUAAAAAUCGAUUAUUUACUGUCCUUUUGUUAAAAAACCGAAAAUUUAUUUUAAAAAUCAUGUAUAUUUCGAUUGCAUUUGAUUGUAUGUUUGUGCGGGCCUUGUAGAAUAGCACUGCAUUUCAUUGCAUGACCACUGUGGUUACACCUUCUAAGUGGAAGUAAGAAGCUACGCUUUCGUGAGGUUUUCACCUCCGCAUGGGCUAGUGGAUUGCUUCCGGGGUACAUCCGUACCUAUGAUUUCGUGAGAUUUUCAUCUCUGCAUGGUCAUAGGGAAAUGUAUCCCCUCGAACCGAACUCGAUCUAUAUGAGCUUAUAAUGGGUGAGGAUUGAGGAAUCUGCUGGUUCGGGUACCCAUUUUCCUAGAACUAAACCACAUAUAGUGAACCUUAGGAGCUAUCCUUGGGUGGAGCCGCGUCGAACCUUAGUACUUACCCGUACAUGCGUUAUAAUCACCGUUUAUGUGCUUGCAUUCUAUUGCUAUUAUUUGAUACUAACCGAUGUUUUGUUUUGAUUGUCUUUUUUGCAUGACAUUGCAUAUUAAAGGAGGCGUUAAUCUACAUUCAAUUACUAAGUUAGAAAAUUUGACAUGGAGAAUGAAUUUUUUAGUAAAGUCGAGGAUAAUGCGGCCGUUCGUGCUUGGUCGGAGAGGCUACAAUCUGAGAGAGGGGAUAGCUUGGCAGAAGGGUAUGUGUCGGAGCUGUAGGAUUUCACUCGCGUCAAUGUAGUACAGAAUAAGCUGCAAUAGUUGAGAGACAUUUGGGUUAGUUGGGAUGAAAGGAUCAAGCAGUUGUUUUACCAAAGUUAUGGUGACAUAUCCUACCUGCUAGACAUUAAAGUGGAUAAGCAUUUGUUCCGAGCCUUGGUGCAGUUUUGGAAUUCCGCAUAUAAGUGUUUUACCUUUGGAGAAGUGGAUUUGGUACCUACCAUGGAGGAAUAUACUACGCUGCUUAGAUGUCCAAAGAUUCAGGUCUGGAAGACUUAUGCCCGGGUUUUUAGUAAUCAGGCUUUCGUGAAGAAACUGAUGAGCAUUUCUGGGAUGAGCGAGUCUUGGGUCACUGCUCGGAUUCAGCAGAAAGGAGAUAGCAAAUGUGUCCCUUGGGAGAAUUUGCGAGAUUUGAUCUUGACUCAUCUAGACGAAAGAAAGAGGGUCGAUAUAUUUGCCUUAAGCAUCUACGGAUUAGUGAUCUUUCCUACGGCUUUGAGGCACGUGGACGAGGCGGUCAUUGACUUGUUUGAUCGUCUUGAAAAGGGAAUCACACCGGUACCGGCAAUAUUGGCAGAAACGUUCAGAUCUUUGAGCUUAUGUCAGAAGACGGGUGAGGGGCGAUUUAUUGGAUGUGCUCAACUAUUGAUGGUAUGGUUUCAUGGGAACUUUUGGAAGGUAGACAAGGUUUCCUAUCGAGUCUUUUCCAAAGGUUAUUCCCCUUUGAAAGAAGAGGUAGCUAUACAGAGGAGAAAGGAUAUCUCAGAAGAGAAGUGGAUGGAUAUUUUUCAGAACCUUAAGGAGGAGGAUAUCGAGUGGAGUGCUUAUUGGAUGGUUCCUGAUGAGAUCAUGUACCAAUGUGGUAACUUUGAUUGGGUGCCAUUGUUAGGAAUUUGGGGAGCUACCGGGUAUACUCCGUUGAUAGCCUUGAGGCAAUACAAGUCGAGGCAGUUUGUACCCACGACCUAUGGACUUGCUCAGAGUGAAUUCUCGUUUAAAGGUGCUCACUAUUAAAAGAGAGUUCGGGAGUUAUCGGAUGCUUGGAAGCAAACUUGUUAGAUGAAGAGGUUAGCCGUCGGUUCUAUGGUAACGCCCGAGUACAGCAAGUGGUUUAAGAAGAGGAUUAAUGAUAAUAUUCCUAGGCCAAGCUUAGAGAAUGCUCGGCCUAUCGGGGAACAAUUACAAGUCGCCCCAUCAGAAUUGGAGAUUAUAAAACAAGAUUUCGAGAAGAAGAGUUUGGAGUUUGGUAAGAAGAUCGAACAAUUAGAGGAAGAGAAGAUGCACCUAAGAUUAGAGGCUGAUGUCCAAAGGUCAGAGGCUGAGAAGUGGAGAAAAGGAAAAACUAAGGCUGAAGAAGAUCUAGACAGUUUGAAAAUGGACUACAAAAAGUUACGCCUAUCUAUGAGGAUUGCGGGUUUAGGUAAGACUUCCGAACAAUGGCGCCAUGAAAUUCGGGAAGAAAAAACCAAUACCGACCGGUGGGAAAGGAAAUUUCGAGAAACUCAAGCACGAAACGAAGAUUUGGAGAAAAGUCUAUCAGAAAGCAGAAAUGAGCAAGGGGAAUUAAGGGCUAGAGUGGCAGAACUCGAGAAGUCCCUACAUCAGUACCGAAACCGCAACACCGUGACAGAAUUGAGGGCAAGCUUGAGCAAAAUACAAGAAAUGAAAGGAAGAAUAGAAGAGUUAGAGGCGUCACUGCAAAAUUGUGAUAUGCGAAUCCAGUUUUUUGAGGCAAACGAGGAUCGUUGGAAGGAGCAACUUCACCAUGCGCAAGGCCAAGUUAGAAAUAGGGAUUACCUUAUGGGAGAGGCCAUAACCCAGAUCCGGGAGGUAGCGGACUACUUGCAAACUCUAGCGGUUCAGGCAGACACACUAAGCGUGAAAUAUGAGUUAGAGUCGGAGCGCGAACAAGAGCUGGCCUCAUUGCUUAGAAAAAUUAGGACUUUGAGCGUUAGAGCAAAAUUAUAUUUGUAACUCGACUUUAUGUAAAAGAUUUUAUUUUCAAGUAAAAUUUUCUAAGGGCUGUUGAAUCAAAAUUGAUGCCUCCUUUACAUUCAUGCAUUUGCAUUACAUCAUAUCAUUAUGCAUUAAAGGCCAUUAGAGUUUUCUAAUUAAUUAACUAAAAAUUAUUUCAAUAACCUGGAAACCAAUGAAAACCAACCACGCACCCCUACAGUACAAGGAAAAAAUCAAUGGAUAAGAGACUCGAGAAAUUAGAGCGGAUGCAAAAAGACAUGCAAGAACAAAUACAGUCUCAGAUGCAAGAGCAGCUAGCCAAGAUUCAGUGAGAGAUGAAAGAGCAAAUGAUGGAGUCCCAGAGGGAAAUGAUGAGUCAGUUAUCCCAAUUGUUGUUGGGAGGAACGGAUAAGGGAAAGGGCCCCAUGGACAAAGUUGAAGAAGCUAAUGAGGAUCCUCAAUACCCCCUGGCUUCACUCUGACACAUGUACCGGUGAAGCUCGAGAUUAAUCUACCGAAGCCAUCUGUCACGAUCAUACCCCAGCAGGUUCAGGCUGGAGCUUCAAUACUGAUGAAUUUCCAAACCGGCUUAGGCUCCAACUUUGUCAACAACCCGAACUAUCCGCCCAUUCCCGAUUUGGAUGAAAUUGCUGAAGAAGAAAAGGCGAGGAUGGAUUCGCAAAAACAAUUGGAAAAACGGUGUAGAUGGCUCGAAGAGAAAUUUAAAGCCAUGGAAAGCGCGGAUCAUCAUCAAGGGAUUAAUGCCAAGGACCUAAGUUUAGUCCCAGAUUUAGUCCUUCCCCCCAAAUUCAAAAUGCCCAAGUUCGAGAAAUACAAUGGAACAAGUUGCCCUGAAGCUCAUAUCAUUAUGUUCUGCAGGCGAAUGACGGGAUAUGUUAACAAUGACCAGCUAUUAAUCCACUACUUUCAAGAUAGUUUGGUCGGGGCGGCGUCUAAGUAGUACAACCAAUUAAGCCGCUCUAAGAUUAACUUGUGGAAGGACCUGGCCCAAGCCUUUAUGAAGCAAUACAAUCACGUGACAGACAUGACCCCUGACAGAAUCACUCUCCAGAAUAUGGAGAAGAAAUCGAAUGAAAGCUUCAGGCAGUACGUAUAAAGAUGGAGGGAGGUGGCCAUACAAGUUCAGCCGCCACUUCUAGAAAAGGAGAUAACGAUACUCUUUAUAAAUACCUUGAAGGCCCCUUUUAUCACUCAUAUGUUGGGAAGCGCCACCAAGAGCUUCUCCGACAUAGUGAUGAUGGGAGAAAUGAUCGAAAAUGCUGUAAAGAGCGGCAAGAUAGAAUCGAGAGAGAGUGCUAGGAAGUUAGCCCCGAGGAGAAAAGACAAUGAAGUGAACAACACGAGCACAUUCAACAAGGGGCAGCCCAAGUCAAUUACCGUAAAUCAACCCAAAAUGGUGACUACCAAUCAACAAAGUUCUGUAAGGCAAGAAUCCAAUGCGAGGAAGAACAUAGAAAGGCCACAAUACACCCCUAUACCCAUGUCCUAUAGAGAGUUGUACCAGAACCUGUUCAACGCUCAUGUGGUAUCCCCUUUCUACCUGGAGCCACUGCAGUCCCCGUAUUCCAAAUAGUAUGACGCGAAUGCCCAAUGUGAGUACCACGCGGGAAUCACCGGGCACUCAAUCGAAAAUUGCACUGCGUUUAAGAAAGUGGUCGAAAGACUCAUUAAGGUGGGAAUCAUGAGAUUUGAUGACCCAGCCACGCCCAAUUUAGCAGGAAACCCACUCCCUAAUCAUACCGACCAAGGAGUGAAUGGGAUAAGUGAAGGCUUGAACAAGAAGACCAAGUAUGAGGUGGCAGAAAUCAGGACCUCGUUGAAGCGGGUAUGGAAAGAGAUGACUAAGAGAGGAUUGAUAGCAUUGGAUCCAAGGGAAGAACCCGAAGAAGAGAGAAACUACUGUGAGUUUCAUGACGAGGUGGGGCAUGAAAUCCAAGAAUGUGUGGAAUUCAUGGCCCUCGUGCAGAACAUGAUAGAUAACAAAGAAAUGGAAUUCUAUGAAGAAGCUAAAAGCCUCAUAGAGGGAAAUGUAUGCGCAUCCGAGGGAGAAUCAAAGGCGUAGAAUCAAAUGCCUAAUUAUCCCGUGGUGAUCAUUUCGAGACCCAAAAAUAAUGAAGCUGGAGUAAAAAUGCCAUCGAGGGUCAUAAUCCAAAGACCUGCAGUCUUCCCUUACAAAAACAGUAAAAAGGUCCCAUGAAAUUAUGAUUGCAGUGUGACGAUGCCGGGAAAAGAGAGCCCGGUUAGCGCUUCAAUAAGGGAUCAAGAUAGAGGUUCCUAUACACAUAGCGGGAGGCGUUACGAUACAAUGAAUGAGGAGGAACAGCCCACAAAAGAAAAAGCCCAGGUGGUCAAGGAAAUGAAGGAAAAAGCAACCAAACUUGUUAAUGAGCCAGUUAACGAAGACGAGGCCAAGGAAUUUUUAAAAUUCCUAAAGCACAGCGAAUACAGUGUGGUAGAACAGCUACGUAAACAACCAGCUCGCAUUUCAGUGCUGGCCUUGCUUCUAAGCUCGGAAGUUCAUCGUAGCGCACUAAUGAAGGUCUUAAACGAGACAUAUGUUGCCAAUGAUAUCUCCGUUAACAAGCUGGACCGGUUGGUGAGCAACAUAAGUGCCGACAAUUUUAUCUUCUUUAAUGACGACGAGAUACCACCUGGGGGCAUGGGGUCGACUAAAGCUCUGCAUAUCACCACACGCUGUAAAGGGUACACGCUACUAGGUGUACUGAUUGACAAUGGAUCAGCUUUGAACGUCCUGCCAUUGACCACGCUGAACAGAUUACCUAUAGACAGCUCUCACAUGAAGGAGUGCCAGAACAUCGUGAAGGCAUUCGAUGGCACGGAAAGAAAGGUGAUGGGCAGAAUCGAGGUACCUCUCUAGAUUAGGCCAAACACAUAUGAGGUGGAUUUUCUCGUGAUGGAUAUCAAGCCCUCAUACAAUUGCUUGUUGGGGAGGCUCUGGAUACAUUUAGCUGGGGCAGUACCUUCCCCGUUGCAUCAAAAAUUGAAGCUGGUGUCGGAGGGGAGGUUGAUAACGAUUAAGGCUGAAGAAGAUAUUAUUGCAACUGUGAGCAAUAAUGCACCCUAUUUGGAGACAUAUGACGAAGCAAUCGAAUGCUCAUUUCGAUCUUUGGAAUUUGUUAACGCGACGUUCAUCACCGAGGGAAGCAAAAUUUUGGUGCCGAAAUUGUCCAAAACCACGAGGAUGAGCCUCGAGUUGACGAUUGGAAAAGGGGCCCUACCCGGAAAGGGACUUGGGAGACAUCUACAAGGAAGGAUCGAAACGCCAAUGCUGAAAGAAAAGAGAGACCGCUUCGGCUUAGGAUUUAAGCCGGAUGUGAAACAAAGGAGAAGGGAGCCAGAAAAGAAGCAAGAAAGAAGGAGAGCUCGAUUAAUGGGGGAGCAAAUCAAGUGGGAACCAAUGACAUUCCCCCAUAUAUUGAAAACAUUUGUAUCCAGGGGAAUCAUUCAUCCUGAGAGAGACACGCCAAUGAUGGGAGCUAUAAAAGAAAGUCUGGAAAGUUUGGACAUCAACGUCAUGUACGAAAAGGAGACUGGAAGGGAAAAUUUGUCGGGCAUUUGCCCCUACACGCCUGGAAGUGUUCUGGACAACUAGAUUGCGGAAGAGAUCCUUGUAGUUUUUAGAACGGAUUCAGAGUAAUGUCCAAAACACACUUAUUGCUCUAGGCCUAGGAGUGAUAAGAAUCUUUUGUGAAAUAGGCUGAUGUUUAAAAACGAUAUUUCAAUAAAAUGCACAGUUAUUAUCAUUUUUGAGCAAAUGUUCUCUCGUCCUCUUAAUUUCAUUCAUAACCAUACAAAUGAUUACUUUCGGAUUCUUUUAUUCUUGAAACAUUCUUCUAAGUAUUCUUUCAUUCGUCAUUCAUAAUCAUAUCACGCAAAUAAAUGUUUCGAAUUCUUUUGAUUCUUUGUAUCUGCCUUCGUCCUUAUAACAGGUUCCCAAAUAUUAAUGAUACGAGUGACACUGCUAGCGACUCAGAAUUUCCUUUCGAGCAAGAUGUAUGUAUGGAUGAUUCUUAGGAUUUUGAAGAUGACCAAGGCUGUAACCUAUCUCUUGAUUUGUUGAAGAUGGAGGAACAAGACGAGAAAUAAAUCCUACCUCACAAAGAAUUAAUCGAAAUUGUGAGCUUAGGAGAAGGACAAGAGGUAAAGAUCGGAAUAAGUAUCACUGCGAAAAUGAAGCGAGACCUCAUUGAAUUACUUUAAGAAUUCAAAGGUGUCUUCGCAUGGUCAUACCAAGAUAUGCCCGGGUUGGACACUGACAUCGUGGUGCAUCGACUUCCCAUAAAAGAAUAGUGUAAGCCAGUUUAGCAAAAACUCCGAAGAAUGAGGCCCGAUGUCUUGCUAAAAAUAAAGGAAGAGGUUCGAAAGCAGUUUGACGUUGGAUUUCUGAAGGUGGUAAAAUACUCAGAUUGGGUAGCCAACAUCAUCCCUGUCCCUAAGAAAGAUGGAAAAGUGCUAAUGUGUGUAGACUACAGAGAUUUGAAUAAAGCCAGCCCAAAAGACAAUUUCCCACUGCCUCAUAUCGACACCCUAGUGGACAACAUGGCGGGACAUUCACUGUUUUCAUUCAUGGAUGAUUUUUUGGGAUACAACCAGAUCAAGAUGCAUCCUGAAGAUAUGAAGAAGACCAUAUUUGUAACCAUGUAGGGCACGUUCUGUUACAAGGUGAUGCCGUUUGGAUUGAAGAAUGCGGGGACAACUUAUCAAAGAGCUAUGGUAACCUUUUUUCACGACAUGAUGCAUAAAGAAAUCGAGGUUUAUGUCGAUGACAUGAUCGUAAAGUCUCGAACAGAGAAGGAGCACAUACAAGUCUUGAGGAAAUUGUUCUUGAGGUUGAGGAAGUUCCAGCUAAAACUCAACCCAGCCAAAUGUACCUUCGGAGCUAAAUCCGGAAAGUUGCUCGGAUUCGUGGUUAGUGAGAAAGGGAUUGAGAUCGAUCUAGACAAAGUUAAAGCCAUACAAGAGUUAUCCUCGCCGCGCACUAAAAAAGAAGUUCGAGGCUUUCUAGGAAGAUUAAAUUACAUUGCUCGGUUCAUUUCACAACUGACCGAGAAAUGUGGCCCUGUCUUUCGCCUCCUCAAGAAACAUAACCCAGGUGAAUGGGAUGAAGAAUGCCAAAGGGCUUUCGACAAGGUUAAACAGUACUUAUCCAACGCCCCGGUGCUGAUGCCACCUAACCCCGAUAAGCCGUUGAUACUGUAUUUGGCAGUAUUCGAGAACUCUAUGAGAUGCAUGCUGGCUCAGCAUGAUGAGUCAGGAAGGAAAGAAAAAGCUAUUUACUAUCUCAGUAAAAAGUUUACGGAAUGUGAGACAAUGUACCCGUCGAUAGAGAAGUUGUGUUGUGCCCUAAUAUGGACAACCCGCAGGCUGAGGCAAUAUAUGUUGUAUCACACCACUUGGCUCAUAUCAAAGUUGGACCCUUUAAAGUACAUGAUGGAGUCAACAACCUUAAAUGGAAGGAUGGCCCGAUGACAGAUUCUGCUUUCUAAAUUCAACAUAGUCUAUGUGAACCAAAAAGUAAUAAAAGGAAGUGCGAUAGCAGAUUUUCUAGCCAGUAGAGCUUUGGAAGACUACGAGCCUUUGAACUUCGACUUUCCGAAUGAAGACCUAAUGUGUAUUGCUACGACUGAAGAAGGUGCUCUGGAAGAACUUCUUUGGAAACUGAACUUCGAUGGGGCAUCAAAUGCUGUGGGCAAUGGAAUCGGGGCCGUCUUGGUAUCCCCAAAACGAGAUCAUUACCCAUUCACUAGUAAAUUGGAUUUUGAUUGUACAAAAAAUAUGGUGGAAUAUGAAGCGUGCAUCAUGGGUAUCCGUGCAGCCAUAGAACGUAAGAUUAAAGUGCGAGAGGUGUAUGGAGAUUCUGCGCUAGUGAUUUAUCAACUCAAGGGAGAAUGGGAGACUAGAGACCUCAAGUUAAUCGAUUAUCGGAAGCUGGUCCUUGAGUUGAUUAAAGAGUUUGAUGACAUUACCUUCCACUACCUUCCACGAGACAAAAAUCAGAUGGCUGACGCUUUGGCUACCUUAGCCUCCAUGAUCAAGGUGAACAAACAAGAAGAUGUCAAACCCAUCCGAAUGAACAUUUAUGAAAUUCCGGCCCAUUCUUACAAUAUUGAAAAAGAUGAAGAGAAAGAUGAUCACCCUUGGUAUCACGAUAUAUUGCAAUAUGUGAAGAAUCGUGAGUACCCGGACCAGGCAAGCGAGAAUGAAAAAAGAACGCUAAGAAGAUUGGCCAUCGACUACGUCUUAGAUGGGGAUAUAUUAUACAAAAGAAGAAAGGAUCAAGUGCUACUAAGAUGUGUAGACGCUGUAGAGGCUAGGAAAAUCUUGGAAGAAGUCCAUGAAGGCGUCUGUGGGACACAUGCUAAUGGCUUUACAAUGGCCAGGCAAAUUAUGAGAUUCGGGUACUAUUGGUCCACCAUGGAAGGAGACUGUGUCAAUUACGCUAAGAGAUGUCAUAAGUGUCAAAUCUACGGAGACAAAAUUCUUGUGCCUCCUUCACCGUUGCAUGUCAUGGUUUCUUCAUGGCCAUUCUCUAUGUGGGGCAUGGAUGUGAUUAGACCAAUAUCGCCGAAAGCUACCAAUGGGCAUCGAUUCAUCUUCGUGGUUAUCGACUACUUCACCAAGUGGGUAGAAACUGCUUCGUAUGCUAGUGUGACCAAGUCGGCAGUGAGCAAGUUUCUGAAAAAGGAUAUUAUAUGUCGAUAUGGAAUGCCGGAGAGGAUUAUAUCCGACAAUGCAUUAAACUUGAACAAUAGUACGAUAGCAGAAGUCUGCAGUCAAUUCAAGAACAGACAUCACAACUCGUCACCAUAUCGCCCAAAGAUGAAUGGGGCAGUGGAAGCGGCCAAUACAAACAUUAAGAAAAUUGUGGGGAAGAUGACCAAAACCUACAGAGACUGGCAUGAGAAGUUACCAUUUGCCCUCUUCGCUUAUCGAACGUCAGUCAAAACCUCAACUGGGGCAGCCCCUUUUUCUUUGGUCUACGGAAUGGAAGCGGUGUUGCCGAUCGAGGUCGAGAUCCCGUCCCUUCGAGUGUUGUUGGAGUUAAAUUUGGAAGAAGCCGAGUGGAUCCAAUCUCGAUAUGAUCAAUUGAACCUAACGAGGAAAAAAGGUUAAAAGCUAUUCGUCAUGGUCAGAUGUACCAAAAAUGAAUGAUGCAGGCUUAUGAUAAAAAGGUUCGUCCUAGAGAAUUCCACGAGGGAGACCUGGUUUUGAAAAAGAUUCUUCCCAUACAGAAAUAUUUUCGGGGAAAAUGGAUGCCUAAUUGGGAAGGGCCUUACGUAGUGAAGAAAGCUUUCACUGGAGUAGCAUUGAUUCUAGCCGAGAUGGACGAUAGAAACUUGCCCAAUCCUGUAAACUCGGACUCGGUCAAGAAGUAUUUUACCUGAAGAAAGAGAGGCCUGAGUGAAAACCCACAAAGGGUGCUCUGAAAUCCAAAAAAAAACCCGGAGAGGCCAAGGUGAAAACCCACAAAGGGUAUUUUGGAACCAAAGGGGCUUUUGAGUUGAAAACCCAAAAACGGGCAGCUCAAAUUUUGAAUAUGGGGCAUAUGGCGGUCUUGUCCUUCCAAAAUCAACAAGACAGAAGAACAUUACACCUUGGAGCAUCAACAAAAUACGCGGGAUCUCCUGAACACACAUUUGGUUCGAAUGAACCUUUGAGAAAUUAGAAUAGUGAAACUCGUGCUGCGAUAUCUGGGGCAUCUUUUUCUCAUUUUUCGCACCUUACCAGAUUCAUUAUCCUAUGUAUUCACAUCAAAAUUUGCUUAAUAAAAUGACAUUUGUCCAUUAUGAUAAUCUCUUUCGAGCAGUUUUGUCGAAAUCGCGAUUUUUGAACAUGUAAUAUCUACAUAAAAGAUGUUAUGCAUAUUACUCUGGAAAAGUCUCUAAAUAGUACAAGGACCUGAAACAGGGCCACUAGUCAGAACUAACCAGGUUCAAAGUUGGAAAAUAUUGGAAAAAGAGAAAUCCAAAUUAGGACUAUUUCUUCAAAUUUUCUGGCAGAGAUAACGGCUAAGUAAGAAAACGUGAUAGCACAUCAAUGAUGGAACCCGGACGAAUCAUGAGCAAUGAUACCUUAAACGUUUGAAGAGGAAUUAUUCUCAUAGCACUUCUACAUUCAUAAUCAUUCAUUUAGUUAGGAGCACUUGAUUCAUUUCGAUCAUAGCAUUCUAAUUAUCUGACAUAAACACCACAUCUAGUUAGGGACAUUUGAUUCAUCUCGAUCAUAGUAUCCUAAUUACUUGAUACAGGAAACCAAUUCUACAAAUCAUGUCUUUGGAAGACAGUGUAGUGACAUUGGCGAAUCCUACAGAUCCUGCUUCCCUGAAGUUGCAGUGGAGCAGAUCGAAGACGACAAAUCUUGACUUCCUGAAGUUGCAGUGAAGUAGAUUUAAGUCACUAACCUAGCUCCCUAAAGUUGUAGUGGAGUAGGUUGAGAUUUUAGAUCCUACUUCCCUGAAGUUACAGUGGAGCAGAUCAAAAACGACGAAUCCUGACUUCCUGAAGUUGCAGUGAAGCAGAUUUAAGUCACUAACCUUGUUCCCUAAAGUUGUAGUGGAGUAGGUUAAAAUUUUAGAUCUCGUUUCCCUGAAGUUGCAGUGGAGUAAAUCAAAGACAACGAAUCUUGACUUCCUGAAGUUGCAGCAAAGCAGAUUUAAGUCACUAACCUAGCUCCCUAAAGUUGUAGUGGAGUAGGUUGAAAUUUUCGAUCUCGUUUCCCUGAAGUUGCAGUGGAGCAGAUCGAAGACGGCGAAUCUGAGCUUCUUGAAGUUGCAGUGAAGCAGAUUUAAGCCACUAACCUAGCUCCCUAGAGUUGUAGUAGAGUAGGUUGAAAUUUUAGAUCUCGUUUCCCUGAAGUUGCAGUGGAGCAGAUCGAAGACGGCGAAUCUGAGCUUCCUGAAGUUGCAGUGAAGUAGAUUUAAGCCACCAACCCAGCUCCCUAAAGUUGUAGUGGAGUAGGUUGAAAUUUUAGAUUUUGUUUCCCUGAAGUUGCAGUGAAACAGAUCGAAGACGGUGAAUCUUGACUUCUUGAAAUUGCAAUGAAGUAGAUUUAAGCCACCAUCCUAGCUCCCUAAAGUUGUAGCGGAGUAGGUUGAAGAUUGUAGAUCUUGUCUCCCUGAAGUUGCAGUGGAGCAUAUUGAAGCUACUUGAAGAAAAAAAGUACCAAGAAGUCGAGGCUCAGCAGGUCCUGGCAAAUUUGGCCCAUUUAUAGUCUUUACUUUAUUCUCGUUACACGACAAUAUGCAAAGAAGGGCAGCUGUAGUGGGCCAAAUUUGCCCGGUCCGAAUAAAAAUAAUAAAUGAUAUAAAAAUCUAGAUAUCAAUAGUCCAUUAUCUGUCCAAUUACAACCCAAAAUCAAACCAAAUUAACCCUAAUGUUUCAAGACACAAAUUACAAGUCCAUUUACAAAAUGACAUAGCCCAAUACCCCAAACGGC
rnacentral:lncRNA from 1 species